GCUAUUUUUACAAAGUGUUAUUGUGAUGAGAGGAAGAAGGAAGGAAGCUACUUGUUGUGAAGAGAGAAGCAACAAAGAAAUAAAAAAUACAUCAACAAAAUUUGAUCUUCGGUUGUGACCAUAUCAGUCAGCUGAUCUAGAAUUUCAACCGUCUGAUCUUCAUCAACGAUCGAGAUCUCAACAAUGUUCGAUACGAAGCCACUUGUGUCUGCAAUGGCCUCAAUUGUACUAAUACGAACCAUCAUGAAUGAGCUCAUUCCUCAUGAGCUCCUACACUUUUUUCAAGCUGGACUUGAUCAUCUUUUUCGCCAAUCCUCCGCGCAAUUCACCAUAGUCAUUGAAGAAUAUCGAGGAAUGGCAAGAAACCAAGUUUUUGAGGCUGCACAAGCUUAUCUAGGGAGUAGGGACUAAAGCAAAUGUCGCAGCAGAGAGUUAAGGUACGCAAAUCUGAGGAUCAUAAAGAGAGUGCAUUCAAUAUUGAUAGAAAUGAAGAAGUGAGUGAUGUUUUUUGAAGGUGUUAGUGUAAAGUGGAAACUAAUAUGUAUACAAGUCGACUCAUCAAGAAUUAGACAUUACGAUAAUUCACAACAUCUUUGCUCCACACAUCUUUGUUAUUCAUUGGUGUGAUUUUGUAUGCAAUUCACAACACCUACAAAACCACUUGAAAGAUGAAGAGUGCUCACACUUAUAAACAAAUUAUCAUACCAUAUCUCAUCAAAUGUAAGAAUCUUACCAAUAAUUAAAAACACACCAAAAGGACUAGAAGUUGUACAUAUGUUGCCUUUUCUCUUCUAGAGGUGGUGCCAAAUUUAUGAGCAAGUAAGUAAAUGAGAAAUGGAGUGAGGGCUUUGGCCUAUAUAGUAGCCAAUGUGAAUCUGUCACUUUUUAUGAUAGAAUACUAUGACGUAAUUUGAUCUAUGUAGCCAAUCUCAUUUAAUAUAGUAAAGCUUGGUUGUGACAUUUUA